rnacentral:rRNA from 1 species
GACGAACGCUGGCGGCGUGCUUAACACAUGCAAGUCGAACGGAAAGGCCCUGCUUUUGUGGGGUGCUCGAGUGGCGAACGGGUGAGUAACACGUGAGUAACCUGCCCUUGACUUUGGGAAAACUUCAGGAAACUGGGGCUAAUACCGGAUCGGAGCUCCUGCUGCAUGGUGGGGGUUGGAAAGUUUCGGCGGUUGGGGAUGGACUCGCGGCUUAUCAGCGUGUUGGUGGGGUAGUGGCUUACCAAGGCUUUGACGGGGAGCCGGCCUGAGAGGGUGACCGGCCACAUUGGGACUGAGAUACGGCCCAGACUCCGACGGGAGGCAGCAGUGGGGAAUAUUGCACAAUGGGCGAAAGCCUCAUGCAGCAACGCCGCGUGCGGGAUAACGGCCUUCGGGUUAUAAACCGCUUUCGCCUGUGACGAAGCGUGAGUGACGGUAAUGGGUAAAGAAGCACGGGCUAACUACGUG